CGCGCCGUCGCUGCGCAGGAGGGGCCGCCUCCCUGUCCCCGCCUCGACCGCGGCCGCGCCUCUUCUCCGGACCGUGCGCGUGGCCGAGUGCCUUGGGGACUCGGGCCUGGGGAAGCGGCAGGGGCGCAGAGGGAAAGAGCCGCGAUGCGGGGGUGCCACUCGGAGGAGCCUUUGAGUCCUGGGCAUCCUCAAGUUGGUGACCGGGGAAAAAGGGGAUACCUUUCAGUGUCGCCCUACGGUGGGAGCUGAGGAGGUCCCUUUUAGAAGCAAAGGAGAAACAAACAGAUGCCCUCUGACAUCGCUGGAGCUCUGCAGGCCCCUCCGAGGGGACCAUGGGAGCAGGAGCUGUUUUCUUGGAAAACCACCUAGAAUAAAUGUUACCCUGUCACAGUC
rnacentral:lncRNA from 1 species